rnacentral:rRNA from 1 species
UAGGGAAUCUUCCGCAAUGGACGCAAGUCUGACGGAGCAACGCCGCGUGAGUGAAGAAGGAUUUCGGUUCGUAAAACUCUGUUGUUAGAGAAGAACAGCGCAUAGAGUAACUGUUAUGCGUGUGACGGUAUCUAACCAGAAAGCCACGGCUAACUACGUGCCAGCAGCCGCGGUAAUACGUAGGUGGCAAGCGUUGUCCGGAUUUAUUGGGCGGAAAGCGAGCGCAGGCGGUCAAUUAAGUCUGAUGUGAAAGCGCCCGGCUCACCCGGGGAGGGUCAUUGGAAACUGGUUGACUUGAGUGCAGAAGAGGAGAGUGGAAUUCCGUGUGUAGCGGUGAAAUGCGUAGAUAUAUGAAGGAACACCAGUGGCGAGGGCGACUCUCUGGUCUGUAACUGUCACUGAGGCUCGAAAGCGUGGGUAGCAAACAGG